GGACACUCCAGCGUGCCCCCAGCACUCAGCGAGCAACUCGGGGCAGUCGAGCUGCUGGCCACAGAUCCCUGUGCAGAGCCAUGGCGGGGGACGGGGAGCUCAACCGUGUCAUCAAGGACUUGCAGAAGACCGUGGCUGAGCUGAACUGCAGCUACCG